rnacentral:rRNA from 1 species
ACAAGGAUUCCCCUAGUAACGGCGAGUGAACCGGGAAGAGCUCAAAUUUGAAAUCUGGCAGUCUUCGAUUGUCCGAGUUGUAAUCUAUAGAAGCGUUUUCCGUGCUGAACUGUGUAUAAGUCCCUUGGAACAGGGUAUCAAAGAGGGUGACAAUCCCGUACUUUACACAAUCAUCAGUGCUCUGUGAUACGUUCUCUACGAGUCGAGUUGUUUGGGAAUGCAGCUCAAAAUGGGUGGUAAAUUCCAUCUAAAGCUAAAUAUUGGCGAGAGACCGAUAGCGAACAAGUACCGUGAGGGAAAGAUGAAAAGCACUUUGGAAAGAGAGUUAAACAGUACGUGAAAUUGUUGAAAGGGAAACGAAAUUCAUGAAUCAUGUUUAUUGGACUCAGCCGUUCUUCGGUGUACUUCCUUUAAACGGGUCAACAUCAGUUUUGUCCGAUGGAUAAAGGUAGUAGGAAGGUGGCUCUCUCGGGAGUGUUAUAGCCUAUUGCUGCAUACAUUGGAUGAGACUGAGGACUGCAGCUUGCCUUUAUGGCCGGGGUUCGCCCACGUUCAAGCUUAGGAUGUUGACAUAUUCUCGAAUCACGACCCGUCUUGAAACACGGACC